CUCCAGGAUCAGGAAUUGACAUCCCUGCUGUAGGUAAAAGGCCUGGGUCAAAUCUGAAGCUGUCAAGUGUUUGUAGCCCACUGCAAAACAGCAGCAGGUCUUUGCCUUUGUCUACAAGUCCACCUAGCUGCAGCCCAGUGGAGUCCAUUGACCCCUACACUCUAAGCUGAGGAUCAGAGAGAAGAUGAUGGGGGGGAUUGGAUCCUGUGCAACAUGCCGACUGAAUGGAUGACUGACUCUAAAUGAACUCGCACAGAGAGCACGUAUUUCAGACCUGACCUCACACAUAUAGGUCUAUACAUAACGCCAGGUGUGCUGGAUACAGUAUAACACCACAUUACGACUGGGUGAUUUGAUGGCAGAAAUGUGUCAUUCUGAGUAGAGAUCUGGUAUAUGCCUCAGUUCAUAUUCAUGCACAGGUGAAUGAGGAGGGACAACAUGUUCAUUUUCUCUUAGAGUAUGAAGGUUCUUUAUCUUAUUUGAAUCUGUAGCAUACUUGCAUUAUUUUAUGCUGCUCACAGGGUUUCUGGGGUCUUAAAAUGUCUUAAUUCAUCCCCAUCCACAAUUUAAGGCCUUAAAAAUCUUAAAUCAUAAUAGGAAUCCUUAAAUCAACAAAGUCAAUAAAAGUUUUAUGCACUGCAAAAAGGAGCACCUUGUAUUUUGUUUUCCAAAACAAAUAUCCUUCAAUACACAUUUUCUGGAGAUGCGCAUGGAAAUUGUCAGCUUUUUGUUCUUGUUUCUAGCAAAAACUCACUUC